rnacentral:misc_RNA from 1 species
AGCAGCCGCGGUAAUUCCAGCUCCAAUAGCGUAUAUUAAAGUUGCUGCAGUUAAAAAGCUCGUAGUUGAAUUUCGGGACCAUCAUGUCGGUCGUGCCUCGGUACGUACUGGCAUUGUUGGUUUCUCCCUUCUGACGAACCAUGAUGUCAUUUAUUUGGUGUCAUGGGAAAUCAGGACUGUUACUUUGAAAAAAUUAGAGCGUUUAAAGCAGGCUCACGCUUGAAUACAUUAGCAUGGAAUAAUGAAAUAGGACGUUUGAUUCUAUUUUGUUGGUUUCUAGGAUCGACGUAAUGAUUAAUAGGGAUAGUUGGGGGCAUUAGUAUUCAAUUGUCAGAGGUGAAAUUCUUGGAUUUAUUGAAGACUAACUACUGCGAAAGCAUUUGCCAAGGAUGUUUUCAUUAAUCAAGAACGAAAGUUAGGGGAUCGAAGACGAUCAGAUACCGUCGUAGUCUUAACCAUAAACUAUGCCGACUAGGGAUCGGAUGAUGUUAAUUUUUUAAUGACUCAUUCGGCGCCUUAC